rnacentral:tRNA from 1 species
CCGCGGGCGUAUAGGCGAAGGUGGUGGCGUUGUAGUCGCCGCUGGGGGUGCCGGUCUUGUACUGGCGGCGUUCGAUGAGCCGGCCGCGGGC